GGGGUGGGGUUCAUCCCACCCAGACCACAGAGACUGAAAAUAAGAAAGGGGUGAGGCCUAAGGGACAAUCAGGAUGUUUUUCAGAGAGAAGUGUGGAUGCUGGACAGGAAGAACCACAGAUACCAGAUACGGGUACUGUUGUAACUCUGUUCUCCAUGAAAAAAAAGGAAGAAUCAACACUUUCAGAGAUGGAGCCUGUUGAGCCACAGUACCAACUAGUCAAUGCUGAAUCGACUUCUCCCUUUCUACAUUGCCUGAGAGAAGUCAUUGGGGAAUACUCUAGAGUCAAGGGAUUGGAUUGUGGAUUGCAUUGGUGGUUUUCCUCAGUUUCCUCAUCUUCUCCACAAGUUUCUACAUAUCGAAUGCAGAGCAGCCCUUCUUCAAAGGACCUCCUACGGAAGCUGCUAAGGAACUCAGUCUGUAGCUCUGCGUGGAGCCAUGUGUAAACACUGAACUGAGACCUGCCACCUCCUACUACCUAAGGGCCCAUUUUCAUCUGAUAUCAUCCCCCAGAAACAAACUCAUGAUGACUUCCAUGUUUUUUUUAGAUUAGAUACAUGGAGAAUUUUCCUUUCCCUUAGAAUUAAAAUCCUGCAUUCUAAUUUUCAGGUAAAACUUUUUCGUCUCUACAGAACUCUCUCCAAGUGCACACCCAUAGAUUGGUUUGCUUGUGGAAUCCUAGCAUAUCAGAAAUGAAGGAAUCUCAGAAAUUGUUUUCAUCAAACACCUCAUAUGCAGAAGGCAAAAUGAAGGUUCAGAGCAGAAAUGAUUUGUCCAAGGAUGCAACACUCAUCUGCAGCAGAGGGAAGCUGAGCUCUGCAGACCCACCUAGCACUGCAGAGGCAGCCCUCUAGGACAAGGCUUCAUAAAAAAGUGACUUUAUGAGUUGGCUCCAUAAAAAAGAUACAGAUUAAGAAAUUGUUUAAA
ensembl:lncRNA LINC00943 long intergenic non-protein coding RNA 943